CCAGGUUGAUUCUGCCUGACGUAGACGCUAUUCCCUAAGAUUAACCCAUGCAUGUUUUUGAAGAUUAUUAUCUGAAAAAUGGACUGCUCAGUAAUACUCACUUUAUUUUAUGUGCACCGCAGAUAACUACGUUAAAGUGUAGAUAACAUGUGUACAGUAAGAGUGAGACCUAUCAGCUAGUUGUUAAGGUAAUGGCUUAACAAGGCAGUGACGGGUAACGGUAUUACUUUGUAAUAUUCCGGAGAAGGAGCCUGAGAGACGGCUACUAAGUCUAAGGAUUGCAGCAGGGGCGAAACUUGACCUAUGGAUUUUAUCUGAGGCAGUUAUGGGAAGUAAUAUAUUAUCGUUUCAUAUUUUAAAAAUAUAUGAGGUGAUUAAUUGGAGGGCAAAUCAAGUGCCAGCAGCCGCGGUAAUACUUGUUCCAAGAGUGUGUAUGAUGAUUGAUGCAGUUAAAAAGUCCGUAGUUUAUUUUUAAGAAGCAAUAUGAGGUGUACUGUAUAGUUGGGAGAGAGAUGAAAUGUGACGACCCUGACUGGACGAACA
rnacentral:rRNA from 1 species